rnacentral:rRNA from 1 species
CAGUAGCCGCGGUAAUACGAAGGGUGUAAGCGUUAAUCGGAAUUACUGGGCGUAAAGCGUGCGUAGGCGGUGAGUUAAGUCUGCUGUGAAAUCCCCGGGCUCAACCUGGGAAUGGCAGUGGAUACUGGCUCGCUAGAGUGUGUCAGAGGAUGGUGGAAUUCCCGGUGUAGCGGUGAAAUGCGUAGAGAUCGGGAGGAACAUCAGUGGCGAAGGCGGCCAUCUGGGACAACACUGACGCUGAGGCACGAAAGCGUGGGGAGCAAACAGGAUUAGAUACCCCCGUAGUCCCUGUCUCUUAUAC